rnacentral:rRNA from 1 species
GACGAACGCUGGCGGCGUGCUUAACACAUGCAAGUCGAGCGGAGCGGCGAACGGGUGAGUAACGCGUGAGUAACUGCCCCCCUCUCUGGGCUAACAGUUGGAAACGGCUGCUAAUACCGGAUAGUGGGGGAUGACUCGCGUCCUAUCAGCUUGUUGGUGGGGUAGUGGCCUACCAAGGCGACGACGGGAAGACGGACGGAGAGGGCGACCGGCCACAUGGGGCUGAGAUACGGACCAAUGUCCUACGGGAGGCAGCAGUGGGGAAUAUUGCACAAUGGGGGAAACCCUGAUGCAGAAACGCCGGGUGCGUGAUGACGGCUUUCGGGUUGUAAACCGCUUUCAGCCAUGACGCGGUAGUGGCAGAAGAAGCACCGGCUAACUACGUGCCAGCAGCCGCGGUAAUUC